rnacentral:lncRNA from 1 species
GUGAGGCCAGAGCAUGGAUGUGAAGUGGGCAGGUGGGGCUGGAGGAGGGCUGGAGGUGCUAUUCUGGAUGGGCUGGGAGAAUGGUUUCAGCAGGAAUGGCCCCAACUGAACAAGGAGGGAGGAGGCCGUGUGGCUGCGUGGACAGAGGUGUCACAAGUGGAGGUGGGGAGAUGGAAGGUGGGGCUUGCCUGAGGAUGGGGUAGCAGCAUGUGAGAGAGGGAGCCAGGACACCCGGGGUUGGAGCUUGAGCCCAGGAAUUCUUACCAAGGUGAUAGGGAAGAGGAGCAGCUGGGGAGGCCUUGGAGGUUUGAGAUCCUGCCAGGAUACCUCCAGCAGAAGUGUGGAAAGAUGAAGGGACUUGGAGACAGGGUAUAGAGGUCAGGGACAUGGAGCUGGUUUGUGGAGCCUCUGAUAAGACGACUUGGAGGUGGUAGAGACUGAUCCUAGCUGCUAGUUGCCUCUCACUGGGUGGUCAGUUCACUUUCUCCUGUCUGCAGGCCCCAGACUCAAGAAUCCAAUUAUGAAAAUUUGAGCCAGAUGAACCCCAGGGGCCCACCAGCUGCCACAUGUUCCCCAUGAGGAGCCCCUCAGCCACCAGCAUCAUUUUGCACACCAAGUGAAGGCCAGCAUGAGGUUUGGUUCCCAGGCAGCCCCCGCCAGGUGACCCCCAAGGUGGCCUUUACUGAACAUCUUUGAGCCCCUGUGAUAUUUAUUCUAGUGGAGCAAGCAUUCUGAAAGUGUGUGUGUGUACAUGUGAACCUCAGCAGGAAACUUCCAGAACAGCUCCCCUCAACCUUAAUUAUCUAGGACAGGAAACCGACCACAGGGUCUGGAGGCCCAGGCUCCAUCCUGCUCUGUCACCAAACUACUGUGUGGACCAGGGCACUUUCUUCCACUCACUGGGUCUCAACUUAUCCACUGCUGAACAGGGAAAACCACAUUUCCCCCCACCCCGGGAAUGGUAGGUCUAUCAAGAUCUGAAGAAAUAACAGAUGUGAUGGGACUUUGGAGAGUAUGAGCCUAUCUCAGGUGUGAGCCUUUGGAUGUGCAGAGUUCCUGGAUGAAUGUAGCCCUCUCAGCAGCCUUGUGGGGAACAAAGCCCACAAGAGAAAACAAAAGAUGGGGGUGUGCAAACUGUGGCCAGAGGAAGAGCAAAUUCUGGAAACCUGGUAGCAUGGGAAGACCUGGAGUCCUACCUUCUUCCAUCUCCACUGUGACUGCCCUGCACCCUCUGCCCACCUCUUGCUACCUCGAGCUGGGACCCCAAGGAAAGGAAAUCAAAGACCGUUAUCUCAAAGCAUCUGGAAGCUUUAGUCUCAGGGACUGAAAGCUGGAAGCCCCUAGGAAAGCUCUGGAUCCCCAUGAAUUAAGAAGCUACAAGAAGCAUCUUGUCCCAUGCUUGGAACCCCAGCCACUCCAGAGGCUGAGGCAGGACAGCAAGUUUGAGGCCUAAACCUAG